CCUACGGGAGGCAGCAGUGGGGAAUAUUGGACAAUGGGCGAAAGCCUGAUCCAGCAAUGCCGCGUGAGUGAUGAAGGCCUUCGGGUCGUAAAGCUCUUUUACCAGGGAUGAUAAUGACAGUACCUGGAGAAUAAGCUCCGGCUAACUCCGUGCCAGCAGCCGCGGUAAUACGGAGGGAGCUAGCGUUGUUCGGAAUUACUGGGCGUAAAGAGUACGUAGGCGGUUAUUCAAGUCAGAGGUGAAAGCCCGGGGCUCAACCCCGGAACUGCCUUUGAAACUAGAUAACUAGAGUCUUGGAGAGGUUAGUGGAAUUCCGAGUGUAGAGGUGAAAUUCGUAGAUAUUCGGAAGAACACCAGUGGCGAAGGCGACUAACUGGACAAGUACUGACGCUGAGGUACGAAAGCGUGGGGAGCAAACAGGAUUAGAUACCCUGGUAGUCCACGCCGUAAACGAUGAUAACUAGUUGUUCGGUCACUUGGUGACUGAGUGACGCAGCUAACGCAUUAAGUUAUCCGCCUGGGGAGUACGGUCGCAAGAUUAAACUUAAAUGAAUUGACGG
rnacentral:rRNA from 1 species